UAAUACGAAGGGGGCUAGCGUUGUUCGGAAUUACUGGGCGUAAAGGGCGCGCAGGCGGCUCUUGAAGUCAGGCGUGAAAGCCCCGGGCUCAACCUGGGAAUAGCGCUUGAUACUCGAGAGCUUGAGUUCGGGAGAGGAGAGUGGAAUUCCCAGUGUAGAGGUGAAAUUCGUAGAUAUUGGGAAGAACACCGGUGGCGAAGGCGGCUCUCUGGACCGAUACUGACGCUGAGGCGCGAAAGCGUGGGGAGCAAACAGGAUUAGAUACCCUGGUAGUCCACGCCGUAAACGAUGUGUGCUAGACGUUGGGGGGCCUAGCCCUCCGGUGUCGCAGCUAACGCUUUAAGCACACCGCCUGGGGAGUACGGCCGCAAGGUUA
rnacentral:rRNA from 1 species